rnacentral:rRNA from 1 species
UUUUGGACAAUGGGCGCAAGCCUGAUCCAGCCAUUCCGCGUGAGUGAAGAAGGCCUUCGGGUUGUAAAGCUCUUUCGCAAGGGAAGAAAACUUACUUUCUAAUAAAGAGUGAGGUUGACGGUACCUUGAUAAGAAGCACCGGCUAACUACGUGCCAGCAGCCGCGGUAAUACGUAGGGUGCGAGCGUUAAUCGGAAUUACUGGGCGUAAAGCGUGCGCAGGCGGCUUUGUAAGUCAGAUGUGAAAUCCCCGAGCUCAACUUGGGAACUGCGUUUGAAACUACAAGGCUAGAAUAUGUCAGAGGGGGGUAGAAUUCCACGUGUAGCAGUGAAAUGCGUAGAGAUGUGGAGGAAUACCAAUGGCGAAGGCAGCCCCCUGGGAUAAUAUUGACGCUCAUGGCGAAG